UACGUAGGGUGCGAGCGUUAAUCGGAAUGACUGGGCGUAAAGGGCGCGUAGGCGGCCGCUUGCGUCGGAUGUGAAAGCCCGGGGCUCAACCCCGGAACGGCAUCCGAUACGGGGCGGCUCGAGACCGAGAGAGGUGAGUGGAAUACCCAGUGUAGAGGUGAAAUUCGUAGAUAUUCGCAAGAACACCAGUGGCGAAGGCGGCUCACUGGCCCGAUACUGACGCUGAGGUGCGAAAGCGUGGGGAGCAAACAGG
rnacentral:rRNA from 1 species